rnacentral:rRNA from 1 species
UACGUAGGGCGCAAGUGUUGUCCGGAUUUAUUGGGUUUAAAGGGUGCGUAGGCGGCUUAUUAAGUCAGCGGUGAAAUAUUUCGGCUUAACCGAAAGGGUGCCGUUGAUACUGAUGAGCUUGAGUACAGUCGAGGUAGGCGGAAUUGACAGUGUAGCGGUGAUAUGCUUAGAUAUUGUCAAGAACACCGAUAGCGAAGGCAGCUUGCUAGUCUGUAACUGACGCUGAGGCACGAAAGUGUGGGGAUCAAACAGG